rnacentral:lncRNA from 1 species
AUGUGCCCCGGAAACAACGUUCACCACGCGACUGGAGCCGGUGGGUUGUUAAAUCACAACGGUAUCAAUUCGUUCAGUUAUCGAUUCAUGCAGUUAUCGAUUCAUCCGGACGGUUUUUAUUUCCUGUUAAAAAAAACAAACCCGUCAACAAUCGCCUCGACUCGGCUCCAUUCGGCUGUUCGCGGCAAAAGUUGCCAGAAGCGAUUUCAUUGGUCCGCGUGUGGCGAUGACGUCGCGCGAGAAGGCUGGUCACCUGGAGGUGCAGCCACACAGCUCUGCUCUACAGCGGCGCGUGGAUGUCACCGACCGGCAUUUGAAUAUGGAAACAACUAAAGAUGGAGACGUCCUGGCUGAGGGAACAAAGCGCCGAUGAAACACCUGACUCCACCGUGCGCACGUCGUGGCGCCUCCAAGAGCAACGACACAUGAAAUACGAGAUGUCCAGGACGCUGCCCCGGGGUGAACUUCAGCUCCUCGCGCUGGCACGUCGUCAUCUCUGCAGGUCGCAGCUGACACCCACAUGAAGAAAAAAAGUGCGCAGCCAAACCCCAACAUGUCUCACCGGAGCCUGGCGCACUCCGACGCGCGCACCGGGAGCCUGCGCACGCGGCUCCGACGCGCGCCCCCAACGAAACACGACGUCUCCAUAUUCACUGCAUUCAAAUAAAAUCAAGGGAUUAUUAUUUAUUUUUUACCUUAGGAAUCAAUAUGUCCGCUGCUCUGGGCUCGUCCCCCCCAGUGCCUGGCUCCUGUGUCCCGUCGGCUGCGCUGACAACGCGUCCACCAUCGCACCGUCCCGCCGCGCUGCCGCUGUUGUGCUGCGCGUCGUCAGGGUGUGGAAUCAUACACACGCAUGGCAACGGCGCGAUGCUCAGGCAUUAAAAAAAAAAUUGAAUAAAAAAAAAUAAAAAAAAUCAUAACGUCUCCAUGAUGCUCAUUUCCUCCGGCGGUCGGACACACUCUGCCUCGCGUGGAGGACGACUGGGACUACAGCCAUUUAGAAAGAAAAUUACAAAUAUUAAGAAAUUAAUUUUGACAUUUUUCUACUAAACUUUACUUUAAAAUAACUAUUUUUUUUAAAAAAAGAUGAAAACAUGAAAAAAAUAACGUACGUUUUUAUGUGAGUAAAAAAAAUCGACCUUUUUUGUUGUUGUCAUUCAGUCGGUUUUGUUAAAUUCAUAUAAAUUCAUAAACAAAUAUUAUUUCUGAAGCCAAUUUUAUUCUGUGGUUAUUUCAUCGAACUGGAUGCAAUAGUUCGGUCGUCGUUUAUGCAUAAUAUUGGAAUAUGAAGGUGGAAGAAAAGUGUGGAAGACAAAAUACUGAAGAGACAGAAAGUAUUUUUUUAAAGAAGUGUUUUUUCUCGUCAUGUUGGGACACUGAAAAAAAUACUUUUCUAAACAUUUAACUUGAGAGACAAAAGUUUAAAAUCUGUCUGUUCAGUGGAUUUAGUUUUUUUUGCCAAACAUGAUUACAUUACAAUUGCAACAAACAUAAAGGUUCAUAAGUGAAUUUACACUGUUUGUACAAUCAUUAACCAGUUUGAUUGUCAGAUUUUUCUUUUGUCCUUUCUUCGUAUUCGCCAUUAAUGUUUUCACUUUGUAUUCUUAUACAACUAGAACAAUAGAAGCCCUUUAUAAUCUUCAAUCUGGAGCAACAUCUAUGUUUGAAUGACUGAAGUUAUUUAUCUGUGAUUGUGUUUUUUGAUUUUCAAACACUAUGUAUUUAUAAAAAAAAAUGUAGCACGUGCUCCUGUAGCUCUCCACCCGUCCAGCAGGGGUCAGCAGACGCUCUGGAGAGUGUGAGGCCGGAGUGCUGACUCACUGCUGGUGACUGACACACACACACACACACACACACACACACACACACACACACACACACACACACACACACACACACACACACACACACACUGAUGAUGAUGAUGAUGAUGAUGAUGAUGAUGGGACUGGACCAGCACGACCUUCCCUGAAUCUCUUAUGGACCAGUAAGAUUAUACUUUGAAUACUGUAUGUUCACCCUGUUAUUACACCCAUACUGUAGGUAUUCAAAUCAACCCAAUAAUCAUAAUGCUGAUGCCCUGUACUACAGCUUUCGGAAUCGCUAAAUUCCAACAGUGAUUAUGAGGAAUGAUUCUGAAAGAACGACUCCUUUCCGUGAAGAAGCUUCAAGAUACAACGUCGAUGGAAUCAC